GGAUGGGGGCGGCGCCGCGGGGACUGCGGCACCGCGAGGGGGAGCUGGGGCGCGGUGCGAGGUGCGGGGGCGCUCCGGCCUGACUGCUGACUGCAGGGAGGGCGCCCGGCACCUUCGUCCGGCGGCCAAGGGCGGUGUCGCGGCAUCGGGCCCAGCCAGCCGCGGUCGGCUCGAUCCACGGACGCUACCCCACCCUUGAACUGGGUCCUUCAGUAAACUGCAUCCACACCCACCUUUCCACUCUGGAUACCCGAGAGGGGCUGGAAACCUGGGUCGCGGAACCAGGGGGAGGGGCUGCCUCCAAAAGGGGUCCUCGCCUCCUCGGAAGGCUCGGAAAAGGAGACUCAAAGAGCUGACUAGCUACAAAGCUAGUAAGUGAGGACAUCUAGAUUCCUUCUACAAAGACAAAGCCCAGGACAUCUUGGACUCUUCAUGACCAGCCAAGCUUGGUCCCCUCCAGAGAAUGGCCCUGCCCCAGGUAACUUCACCAAUAGCACAGUGCCACAAAGAUUUUCUGGAGAUAAUUGCCUCUGGCCUUGUUGUUGCCUUCAAGAUGGGGACUUGGGGCCAAAUAGCAGAAGAUGUGACCUGAUAGGGACCUUACUGGGGACAUGGGACCCUGACAGGGGUGCUUUUCCCUACCUGUGGAGGGCUAGAUCACCCUCACGGAUGGUGCCCCCUCUGCUUUGUUUUGGUUGGGUCCUUAAGCACAUCACCUACCUUCUCUGAGCCUCUGUUACCAUAUCCGAAACAUGGAAAUCUGUUUUUGUUAUGUUGUGUAUGUGAGACACAAUGUGAGCUGGACGUUUAGUGAACAUGCAGUCAAUAAAUAAAUGACAACAUUGAUUACAGCAGGCCCAGGCACAUGAGGACUGCCCGUGGAUUACUGGCAACAAAUGUCCUUGGCCGAGGCUCCCUCCUCCCGCCACCCAGUCUGCACCCAGCCUGCUUUCUCCUCUGCUCACUCCUCCCCCAGUCCCCGCCCCUGUUGUCUGUUGGAAUAUAAUCAAAGAAGCACACAGGCAGAUUUUUAAAUAAUGCCUGCCCAGCCUCAGGUGACUCAUCCGAUGGCUGUGAGCUCCAACUCUCCUCCAUGUGGGCGUCGCCAGCACCACCACAUUGUCACACAGCAAAGCUAUGCUGCACAGCACCCAUGCAGAUGAUAACAGGGGAAACGAGGCCCACUGAUCCUCCCCUUCCCUGGAAUAGGCUUUUGGCAAGCUUUGGGGAAAGGUGGUUUUCUCCCCUACGCUCCCGUGUAAAAAGGAGCAGAUCUUCUGGCUGUUGGGCAGGGUGGUGGGGGAGGAGAGCCAACAUCCUCCUGCCACCUGUCAUUUCCUGCUUUGGACUUGAUGUCACUGUCGAGUGUUUGAGCCAUCCCUGCCCUGAAGGCACUUUGGGGUGAUGAUGACAAAAUUCAGACUGGAAAGGAAAGGAGUGAAUUCCCAGUAGAAGGCUGGGCCGGGCCUGCAUUUUACAGAGGGACUCAGGAUCUCACGUUUCGCUCUGCUGGGAUGUUCUUAUUUCCUGCCUUCCAUGAGAGGAAUCUUGUGAAAGCACCCUGGAGAUGUGGGAUGAUGAUGAACAUUGCUCUCAGUGGAUGCCAUCUCUAACGCGACGCAUGUGAUCUGGUUGAGAGAGAUUUAAUUGGGAUUCUGAAAUUUUGAGCAUCAGUAGAAUAAUGAAAACCCAAGAGCCAUUCCAGCAGUAAAGUUGUAUGAAUUAUUCGG